AGUAAUUGUCUAUGAAUAAAUGAUACCCCUUAUUUAGCAAUUGGUUAAUUAAAUCCCAUACGAUUUUUCCACUCGUCCCAAUGAUAUCCAGGCAACCUGGGGGAUCCAAGUGGCUGUCUUUACCUUUGUAAACACAGAAGGUGUAAACAUAACCACUGGCACUUUCACAACGUUUAUACAACUUUAUCCCAUACCGGGAUCUUUUGGCCGGCAUAUAUUGUUUAAACCCCAGUCUGCCCUUGUAUUUCAUUAGAG